rnacentral:rRNA from 1 species
UCCGUAGGCGGGUAAUUAAGUCAGAGGUGAAAUCCCACAGCUUAACUGUGGAACUGCCUUAGAUACUGGUUAUCUUGAGUUUUAGUGAAGUAGAUAGAAUGUGUAGUGUAGCGGUGAAAUGCAUAGAUAUUACACAGAAUACCGAUUGCGAAGGCAGUCUACUAACUAACAACUGACGCUAAUGGACGAAAGCGUGGGGAGCGAACAGGAUUAGAUACCAUGGUAGUC